UUUAACCUGGGAAGGUACUAAAUUAACCCAGACAGGCAUGAUAAACACAAUCAAGUUUUUUGUUCUGUCUCCGGAUAAUAGAAUGAAGUGUAUGGAUCAAAGGUAAAAGCUUCACAUCUUUCUGCACUGGCUGACCGUCACUGAGGAUAUAUUUUGAGAAUUUGUCUGUUCAUGGCUUUCCUUAUAUAUUUCCAUAUGGUUCUGCUUUCUGAAAACAGAUGACAAGAAAUAAGAUGGAGAUAAAAAUAGGAGAUGAGUGCCAACAGUGAAGAGGAAGCAGUAGAGGCAGACAUGGAGCUGAAGAUCAUUCCUCUAAAUUGGUGUCUAUUUUAAUCGACUUGCUGAAUUCCUCACUGAAUUUGCUUUUCUUGGUAUUGAGUUUUGCUUAUCGCUUCUGACAUGGAAAGGAAGAAAUGUAAUCUUACGUGAAAUGUUCAGUCUUCUCCUGAAUAGACAGGCCAAAUUGCUGAAAUCAGAAGACAAGAAGACAUGACAUGAAUGUAUAACCAGUUUUUAUUGCCAGCAUUUACAUCUGGUGGAGGUGCCUGUGGGUGGUCAAUUUGCAAGAGGGCCAACAUAGGAACCCUAUUGGAACCUUCCAUCUCAUACGCUGUGAGGUUUUCCAUUCCUGAACUUCAUUCAAAAGAACUGCGCAGCAGGAAGAAAGAAGAAAUUUUAAUUUACCUUUCUAACAGAUCCUGAGUGCCAGCUACAGAACAACAGGUGCAAUGGCACUUUCAAUUUAUCAUGAUCUAUGUCAACCUGCCAAAGUGGCCUUAGUGCACCAUUCUAAAGUUAUGUGUCUUUUCCUUGCAAGGUAUGUGGGCUGCCCCUGGUGUUUUCCCUAUUCAAACAACAUUUUUCUUUUUUGUGGAUAAAUUUUUACAAUAACAAAAUAUGCUACCCCUUUGCAGAAUUCAA